CCACACUCGCAUUGGUUCCUGCGAUAAAACAACCCUACGGCCCUCGGGGGGCCGAAAAUUUACGGAAAACCGAAGCUUACCGGCGGCGGUGCUCUCGGGUGCGGCGGCUCUCCGGUGAAGUUCGUGUUUUGGUGAUUCGGCUCCAAUCAACCUGUAGAGAAAAGAAUGGUGAUCACGGUGAUAUAAAAAUUGCAUUAAACGGAGGCCGGGAAGGGCCUCAUCGGAGGCAAAAACCGAGAAGGGGCGCGGCGGCGCCGCUGGCUUUCGGCCGUUUGGCAGGGAUUUUAGCUCCGAUUUGGCCACUGGGAAAAUCAGCGUGGAAAAACGAGUCGGGGUAUGAAAUUUACCUCGAUCGGCGGUCGGAAAUCCCUCCGGU
rnacentral:lncRNA from 1 species